rnacentral:rRNA from 1 species
AGCCUACGGGGCGCAGCAGUAGGGAAUCUUCGGCAAUGGGGGCAACCCUGACCGAGCAACGCCGCGUGAGUGAAGAAGGUUUUCGGAUCGUAAAGCUCUGUUGUAAGAGAAGAACGUGUGUGAGAGUGGAAAGUUCACACAGUGACGGUAACUUACCAGAAAGGGACGGCUAACUACGUGCCAGCAGCCGCGGUAAUACGUAGGUCCCGAGCGUUGUCCGGAUUUAUUGGGCGUAAAGCGAGCGCAGGCGGUUUAAUAAGUCUGAAGUUAAAGGCAGUGGCUUAACCAUUGUUCGCUUU